rnacentral:rRNA from 1 species
CCUGGUUGAUUCUGCCAGUAGUCAUAUGCUUGUCUUAAAGAUUAAGCCAUGCAUGUCUAAGUAUAAGCAAUUAUACAGCGAAACUGCGAAUGGCUCAUUAAAUCAGUUAUCGUUUAUUUGAUAGUACCUUACUACAUGGAUAACCGUGGUAAUUCUAGAGCUAAUACAUGCUAAAAACCCCGACUUCGGAAGGGGUGUAUUUAUUAGAUUAAAAACCAAUGCCCUUCGGGGCUCACUGGUGAUUCAUGAUAACUUCUCGAAUCGCACGGCCUUGCGCCGGCGAUGGUUCAUUCAAAUUUCUGCCCUAUCAACUUUCGACGGCUGGGUCUUGGCCAGCCGUGGUGACAACGGGUAACGGAGGGUUCGGGCUCGACCCCGGAGAAAACGCCUGAGAAACGGCGUUUACAUCCAAGGAAGGCAGCAGGCGCGCAAAUUACCCAAUGCCGACACGGCGAGGUAGUGACGAGAAAUACUGAUACAGGGCUCUUUUGGGUCUUGUAAUUGGAAUGAGUACAAUUUAAAUCUCUUAACGAGGAACAAUUGGAGGGCAAGUCUGGUGCCAGCAGCCGCGGUAAUUCCAGCUCCAAUAGCGUAUAUUAAAGUUGUUGCAGUUAAAAAGCUCGUAGUUGAACCUUGGGCCUGGCUGGCCGGUCCGCCUCACCGCGUGCACUGGUCCGGCCGGGCCUUUCCCUCUGGGGAACCGCAUGCCCUUCACUGGGCGUGUCGGGGAACCAGGACUUUUACUUUGAAAAAAUUAGAGUGUUCAAAGCAGGCCUAUGCUCGAAUACAUUAGCAUGGAAUAAUAGAAUAGGACGUGUGGUUCUAUUUUGUUGGUUUCUAGGACCGCCGUAAUGAUUAAUAGGGACAGUCGGGGGCAUCAGUAUUCAAUUGUCAGAGGUGAAAUUCUUGGAUUUAUUGAAGACUAACUACUGCGAAAGCAUUUGCCAAGGAUGUUUUCAUUAAUCAGGAACGAAAGUUAGGGGAUCGAAGACGAUCAGAUACCGUCGUAGUCUUAACCAUAAACUAUGCCGACUAGGGAUCGGAC